AUGAUUAACAGGAGGGGCAGAGGGAGAGGGACAAGGAGAGGGUCAGGCAGACUCCCCCACUGAGUGCAGUAUGACCUGGAGUUUAAUCCCAGGACCCCAAGAUCACAAUCUGAGCUGAAGAAGCCAGAUGCUUCACGGACUGAGCCACACGGACGUCCCUGAGGGAAAACAAUUUCUAACCAAGAAUUCUACAUCCAGCGUGAUUGUCAAUUAAGUAUGAGUUUAGAAUAAAGACACUUCCAUACAGGCAAGGUCGGAAAAAUGUGCCUCUCAGGCAUCCUUUCUCAGGAAAUUAUUAGAGGAUGUGUUCCACUAAAUGAAGAAGAAAAUGAAAACAAUAAAACAAAAGCACGGGAUUGAGGAAACAAGAGAUACCAGAAGAGGAUAAUGGUAGAGGGUGACUCCCAGACCACAGCCCUGCAGCAGGGAUCAAGAGCAAACAGUCCAGAGCCGCGUCCCGUCAGAAGGCUCCUCUAGAGAGAUUUUAUUCAAGAAAUGAAACUGACAGACCACCUGCCGCAUCUGAAUGUCUGGAGAACAGAUCCAUACAACUGAGGAAGAGUUUGGGAUUGAAUCAGUGUAAAUUCACAGAAAACUGGCGAAACAGAAGGCAAGACUGUUAAUUGACUUGCGCAGUGAAAAGCGCAAUGAAAAAACAGUAAUGCUGUCAUCUAUGAAGAGCAUUUCAUGGUCACGGUAUAUGACUGAAUGCGGAAGGAUGGGAGGACGGACUUCCUGUCUGUGGUGAGGAAGCAGUGAGCGCGACGGAGUACUAAAUCUCUACCGUCCACUGUAGAAUGUCAACAGGUAAUGCCCAAACUAGAACAACUGACAGUAGAAGUAUGUUAUUUAGAGAUCUGGCGGUAAAUACCAAACAAAUUACUUGGAGGAGUUGAAACUGGAUGCCUCCUAAAGGUACAACUUUACUAAGAACAAACCCUGAACUAACUUGCACAGGAUUACACAGCCUACAGCGGUCGGAAUGGGGCUUCUAAUCUAGCUGCUCUGGUUCUCUGACCUAUUUGUCACGUCUCGACCAACAGAGCCAAUGAAGUCUAUUCGAAAUCUAGGGAGGAUAGGCACUGCAUAUCCUCAGCUGAGAAGUGAAGAGCUAAUAACUGGUUGCCAUCACAUCGUUCAUCUUAAGUACAAAGAGUGGAGGGUAGGGGAGAAAUGGAAUACAUCACGGACAAAAAACUCCAGAUGAGGGACGCCUAGGUGGCUAGGACGACUGCCUUCGGCUCAAGUCAUGAUCCCGGAGUCCCGGAAUCGAGUCCCGCAUCGGGCUCCCAGCUCCAUGGGGAGUCUGCUUCUCCCUCUGACCUUCUCCUUACUCAUGCUCUCUCUCACUGUCUCUCUGUCAAAUAAAUAAAUAAAAUCUUUAAAAAAAAAAA